CAGUCGUACUUGCGGAUAAUCAACCUUUAGAUGCGAUUUUGUGGAGCGUCAAGAGUUAAACGCCUUCAUGCCUGCAUAUUCGUAUACUUUGGGUGUACUUAUUCGUGUGGUAAGUUAACAUCAAUUUUGGUGAUCAUAAAAUGACUGGAGGAAUGUAGCUUCGAUCUCGUAUUGAAGUGUUAUAGCCUUUGGUAGAUGUGAUGUUUUUGAGACCGAGGAUUGCAACGGAUACCUUCAGGGCUAUUCGUCUGAUCUCUGAUACGUUGCCUUGAUGUUGAAAGCUUGCUUAUGGUAUCAAAGUUGGUGUCAAUAGGUUAGAACGGGUUAAAUUCGGUUAAGG
rnacentral:rRNA from 1 species